rnacentral:rRNA from 1 species
ACAACUUUCAGCAACGGAUCUCUUGGCUCUCGCAUCGAUGAAGAACGCAGCGAAACGCGAUAAGUAAUGUGAAUUGCAGAAUUCAGUGAAUCAUCGAAUCUUUGAACGCACCUUGCGCCCCUCGGCUCCGCCGAGGAGCAUGCCUGUUUGAGCGUCACG